rnacentral:rRNA from 1 species
GGGUCAGUAGGUUGGUCGUGCCACCGGUACGUACUGGUCUCACUGAUUCCUCCUCCCUGAAGAACCGUAAUGCCAUUAAUUUGGUGUUGCGGGGAAACAGGACUGUUACUUUGAAAAAAUUAGAGUGUUUAAAGCAAGCUAACGCUUGAAUACAUUAGCAUGGAAUAGUGAAAUAGGACGAUCGAUCCUAUUUUGUUGGUUUCUAGGAUUGACGUA